rnacentral:rRNA from 1 species
GGGGAAACCCACCUUCGAUAGCCGGAACUCCAAGGCCUUGCGUUUCGAAAGAGACGUGAGGGUUUGGAUUUCCGGUUAUCAAGAGAAGGUAUGAGAUCUCUGAAUACAUAGGAGGUUUCAAGCGAACCCAGGGAACUGAAACUUCUAA